AAAGCCAGUGACAGCCAUUGUAA
rnacentral:siRNA from 1 species